UACGGGGGGGAGCAAGCGUUGUUCGGAUUUACUGGGCGUAAAGGGCGCGUAGGCGGUCAGCACAAGUCAGUUGUGAAAUCUCCGGGCUUAACUCGGAAAGGUCAACUGAUACUGUGCGACUAGAGUGCAGAAGGGGCAACUGGAAUUCUCGGUGUAGCGGUGAAAUGCGUUAGAUAUCGAGAGGAACACCUGCGGCGAAGGCGGGUUGCUGGGCUGACACUGACGCUGAUGCGCGAAAGCCAGGGGAGCGAACGGG
rnacentral:rRNA from 1 species